UGUUCCUCACUGCUGCCUUGCCGGAACCGAACGAAAGCUUUCGACUCCUUUCGGUAUUCAUCCCUCAUUCCUGUCAUCCCGUACUCGCCGGAGAAGAAGCUAUUACUCGCCGGAAGUUGCGCCCUCGCCGGAACCACCGACCAUCACCACCAACCACCGCCGGGCCGGGUAAUUCUCUUGUGCACGAUCUUCCUUGGAAAUUCCUGAUUCUUAAUUUUAAUCCAAGAAAUACGCAACGCAACCUAAGGUGAAUAUACAUGACCCAUUUUCCAUUUUCACACUUUUGGGUGCAAUAUGUAUUCUAUAUCAAACACGACAUGUUAUGCUAA
rnacentral:lncRNA from 1 species